GAUGAACGCUAGCGGCAGGCCUAACACAUGCAAGUCGAGGGGCAGCGCGGGUAGCAAUACCUGGCGGCGACCGGCGCACGGGUGAGUAACGCGUAUGCAACCUGCCCCCGUCUGGGGAAUAGCCCGUCGAAAGGCGGAUUAACGCCCCAUAGCUUCUAGGAUCGGCAUCGGUUCUGGGAUAAAGGUUACGGACGGGGAUGGGCAUGCGUGCCAUUAGCUAGUUGGCGGGGUAACGGCCCACCAAGGCGACGAUGGCUAGGGGAGCUGAGAGGCUGAACCCCCACACUGGUACUGAGACACGGACCAGACUCCUACGGGAGGCAGCAGUGAGGAAUAUUGGUCAAUGGGCGGAAGCCUGAACCAGCCAUGCCGCGUGCAGGAAGACGGCCCUACGGGUUGUAAAACUGCUUUUCUGCGGGAAGAACGGCCCCUACGUGUAGGGGUGUGACGGUACCGCAGGAAUAAGGGAUCGGGCUAACUCCGUGCCAGCAGCCGCGGUAAU
rnacentral:rRNA from 1 species